rnacentral:tRNA from 1 species
GCCUGGGUGGCUCAGUUGGUUGAGCGUCCGACUUCGGCUCAGGUCACGAUCUCACGGCUUGUGGGUUCGAGCCCCGCAUCAGGCU